GAGUUUGAUCAUGGUUCAGGACGAACGCUGGCGGCGUGCCUAACACAUGCAAGUCGAACGGAGAAUUUCAAAGGGUAACUGGAGAAAUUUUUAGUGGCGGACGGGUGAGUAACGCGUGGGUAACCUACCCAACAGACCGGGACAACACUUGGAAACGAGUGCUAAUACCGGAUAGCCUAUGACUUCGGCAUCGGAGAGAUAGGAAAGGUGGCCUCUAUUUAUAAGCUACCGUUGUAGGAUGGACCCGCGUCUGAUUAGCUAGUUGGUGGGGUAACGGCCUACCAAGGCAACGAUCAGUAGCCGGCCUGAGAGGGUGAACGGCCACACUGGGACUGAGACACGGCCCAGACUCCUACGGGAGGCAGCAGUGGGGAAUCUUCCGCAAUGGACGAGAGUCUGACGGAGCAACGCCGCGUGUAUGAUGAAGGCCUUCGGGUUGUAAAGUACUGUCUUUGGGGACGAAUGGUAACUAUGAAGAUAUUGUAGUUACAUGACGGUACCCAAGAAGGAAGCCCCGGCUAACUACGUGCCAGCAGCCGCGGUAAUACGUAGGGGGCAAGCGUUGUCCGGAAUCAUUGGGCGUAAAGGGCGCGUAGGCGGAUAGUUAAGUCCGAUGUGAAAUACCAGGGCUCAACCCUGGGGCUGCAUCGGAAACUGGUUAUCUUGAGGACAGGAGAGGAAAGUGGAAUUCCACGUGUAGCGGUGAAAUGCGUAGAUAUGUGGAGGAACACCAGUGGCGAAGCGACUUUCUGGACUGUAACUGACGCUGAGGCGCGAAAGCGUG
rnacentral:rRNA from 1 species